rnacentral:rRNA from 1 species
GGUCAAGUUGUUAAGGGCACACGGUGGAUGCCUGGGCACCAGGAGCCGAUGAAGGACGUAGGAGGCUGCGAUAAGCCUCGGGGAGCUGUCAACCGAGCGUUGAUCCGAGGAUUUCCGAAUGGGGGAACCCCGCACCAGUCAUGUGGUGUGACCCGCGCCUGAACACAUAGGGCGUGUGGAGGGAACGUGGGGAAGUGAAACAUCUCAGUACCCACAGGAAGAGAAAACAACCGUGAUUCCGUGAGUAGUGGCGAGCGAAAGCGGAUGAGGCUAAACCGAUUGCAUGCCAAGCCGGCAGGCGUUGUGUGGUCGGGGUCGUGGGACGAUUC